UACAGAGGGUGCGAGCGUUGUUCGGAAUUACUGGGCGUAAAGCGCGCGCAGGCGGCUUUUUAAGUCCGACGGUGAAAUGCCGGGGCUCAACCCCGUGCCCGCCGCGGAUACUGGGAAGCUGGAGACGAGUAGAGGCAAGCGGAAUUCCGGGUGUAGCGGUGGAAUGCGUAGAGAUCCGGAGGAAUACCAGUGGCGCAAGCGGCGCUCUGGGUCGAGCCUGACACUGAGACGCGAAGGCAUGGGGAGCGAACGGG
rnacentral:rRNA from 1 species